rnacentral:rRNA from 1 species
UUUAUAGGUAUGGUAGGAGAGCGUUCUAUGUGUGAUGAAGGUAUACCGUGAGGAGUGCUGGAACGCAUAGAAGUGAGAAUGCCGGUAUGAGUAGCGAAAGACAGGUGAGAAUCCUGUCCACCGUAAGACUAAGGUUUCCAGGGGAAGGCUCGUCCGCCCUGGGUUAGUCGGGACCUAAGGAGAGACCGAAAGGUGUAUCCGAUGGACAACAGGUUGAUAUUCCUGUACUAGAGUAUGUAGUGAUGGAGGGACGCAGUAGGCUAACUAAAGCAGACGAUUGGAAG